UCGCCAAGCACUUCUGUGGGCCCUCCUCCGUGUGUAAGUGGAGCCAAGAGGUUUCGGAAGGACAGUGUCUUCCUAUGCAUAGCUCCCACACAGAGAGGAUACAAAUGCUUGGACACUUGCUGUGUUCCUGUGAGCACCCUUGGAAGUGGUGGCUGCACCUUUCGUAAGGAUGUGUUUCAUGGCAAGAUCCAUCUCCGCCUUCCUUUUCAUUUGGCACCCCUCCCUUGAAAGGUUCCAGCUGCUGAUGGAAGGAAC
rnacentral:lncRNA from 1 species